AAAUACUGGUGGGAGACCGAUAGCAAACAAGUACCGUGAGGGAAAGUUUAAAAGCACUUUGAAAAGAGAGUGAAAAGAACCUGAAACCGCUAGGGGGGAAGCGAAUUGCGCUGAUAUGUGAGAGGAGUGUCGAUCAGUGGGUGAAACCGCGUACUCUGCACUUUUUCUCUGCCGUCAUGGGUUUGUAGUGGUGGAUUUUGCACUGCUGCAGGCCGAGGGAUCCCUUUUAUAGGUGACGAUGAUGGAUUUGUCGGUGCGAUUCGACCCGUCUUGAAACACGGACCAAGGAGUCUAGCGUACCUGCGAGUCAAAGGGUGUGAAAACCUGAGGGCGCAGUGAAAGCGAAUCUAUUGAAAAUGGUGCAAUUUGAGGCGGCAUACGAUCUUUGAUUGUAAGUCCGACCUAGAGCAGAUAUGCUAGGACCCGAAAGAUGGUGAACUAUGCUUGAGUAGGGCGAAGCCAGAGGAAACUCUGGUGGAGGCUCGUAGCGGUGCUGACGUGCAAAUCGCUCGUCAAACUUGAGUAUAGGGGCGAAAGACUAAUCGAACCAUCUAGUAGCU
rnacentral:rRNA from 1 species